rnacentral:rRNA from 1 species
AUUGAACGCUGGCGGCAGGCCUAACACAUGCAAGUCGAACGGUAACAGGAAACAGCUUGCUGUUUCGCUGACGAGUGGCGGACGGGUGAGUAAUGUCUGGGAAACUGCCUGAUGGAGGGGGAUAACUACUGGAAACGGUAGCUAAUACCGCAUAACGUCGCAAGACCAAAGAGGGGGACCUUCGGGCCUCUUGCCAUCGGAUGUGCCCAGAUGGGAUUAGCUUGUUGGUGGGGUAACGGCUCACCAAGGCGACGAUCCCUAGCUGGUCUGAGAGGAUGACCAGCCACACUGGAACUGAGACACGGUCCAGACUCCUACGGGAGGCAGCAGUGGGGAAUAUUGCACAAUGGGCGCAAACCUGAUGCAGCCAUGCCGCGUGUAUGAAGAAGGCCUUCGGGUUGUAAAGUACUUUCAGCGGGGAGGAAGGGAGUAAAGUUAAUACCUUUGCUCAUUGACGUUACCCGCAGAAGAAGCACCGGCUAACUCCGUGCCAGCAGCCGCGGUAAUACGGAGGGUGCUAAGCGUUAAUCGGAAUUACUGGGCGUAAAGCGCACGCAGGCGGUUUGUUAAGUCAGAUGUGAAAUCCCCGGGCUCAACCUGGGAACUGCAUCUGAUACUGGCAAGCUUGAGUCUCGUAGAGGGGGGUAGAACUCCAGGUGUAGCGGUGAAAUGCGUAGAGAUCUGGAGGAAUACCGGUGGCGAAGGCGGCCUCCUGGACGAAGACUGACGCUCAGGUGCGAAAGCGUGGGGAGCAAACAGGAUUAGAUACCCUGGUAGUCCACGCCGUAAACGAUGUCGACUUGGAGGUUGUGCCCUUGAGGCGUGGCUUCCGGAGCUAACGCGUUAAGUCGACCGCCUGGGGAGUACGGCCGCAAGGUUAAAACUCAAAUGAAUUGACGGGGGCCCGCACAAGCGGUGGAGCAUGUGGUUUAAUUUCGAUGCAACGCGAAGAACCUUACCUGGUCUUGACAUCCACGGAAGUUUUCAGAGAUGAGAAUGUGCCUUCGGGAACCGUGAGACAGGUGCUGCAUGGCUGUCGUCAGCUCGUGUUGUGAAAUGUUGGGUUAAGUCCCGCAACGAGCGCAACCCUUAUCCUUUGUUGCCAGCGGUCCGGCCGGGAACUCAAAGGAGACUGCCAGUGAUAAACUGGAGGAAGGUGGGGAUGACGUCAAGUCAUCAUGGCCCUUACGACCAGGGCUACACACGUGCUACAAUGGCGCAUACAAAGAGAAGCGACCUCGCGAGAGCAAGCGGACCUCAUAAAGUGCGUCGUAGUCCGGAUUGGAGUCUGCAACUCGACUCCAUGAAGUCGGAAUCGCUAGUAAUCGUGGAUCAGAAUGCCACGGUGAAUACGUUCCCGGGCCUUGUACACACCGCCCGUCACACCAUGGGAGUGGGUUGCAAAAGAAGUAGGUAGCUUAACCUUCGGGAGGGCGCUUACCACUUUGUGAUUCAUGACUGGGGUG